AACGUACGCUGGCGGCACGCCUAACACAUGCAAGUCGAGCGAGGUAGCAAUACCUAGCGGCAGACGGGUGAGUAACAUGUGGGAAUCUGCCUUUUGGUUCGGAACAACACGGGGAAACCUGUGCUAAUACCGGAUAAGUCCUAACGGAGAAAGUUUUAAUGCCAAAAGAUGAGCCCGCAUUUGAUUAGCUAGUUGGUAAGGUAAAAGCUUACCAAGGCGACAAUCAAUAGCUGAUUUGAGAGGAUGAUCAGCCACACUGGGACUGAGAUACGGCCCAGACUCCUACGGGAGGCAGCAGUGGGGAAUCUUGCACAAUGGGCGAAAGCCUGAUGCAGCGAUGCCGCGUGAGUGAAGAAGGCCUUUGGGUUGUAAAGCUCUUUUGUCGGGAAAGAUAAUGACUGUACCCGAAGAAUAAGGUCCGGCUAACUUCGUGCCAGCAGCCGCGGUAAUACGAAGGGACCUAGCGUAGUUCGGAAUUACUGGGCGUAAAGAGUAUGUAGGCGGCUAGAUAAGUUAAUUGUGAAAGCCCAAAGCUUAACUUUGGAAUUGCAAUUAAAACUAUUUAGCUGGAGUAUGAUAGAGGAAAGCGGAAUACAUAGUGUAGAGGUGAAAUUCGUAGAUAUUAUGUAGAGCACCAGUUGCGAAGGCGGCUUUCUGGAUCAUUACUGACGCUGAGAUACGAAAGUAUGGGUAGCGAAGAGGAUUAGAUACCCUCGUAGUCCAUACCAUAAACGAUGAUUAUUAGAUGUGGGGAAUUAUUUCUCUGUAUCAUAGCUAACGCGUUAAAUAAUCCGCCUGGGGAGUACGACCGCAAGGUUAAAACUCAAAUGAAUUGACGGGGACCCGCACAAGCGGUGGAGCAUGUGGUUUAAUUCGAAGCAACGCGCAGAACCUUACCAACCCUUGACAUGUUUGUCGCGAGACUAAGAAAUUAGUCUCU
rnacentral:rRNA from 1 species